rnacentral:rRNA from 1 species
ACAGGACACCUCACGGCACGAGCUGGCGACGGCCAUGCACCACUUCUCAGCUUGUCUGGUAAAGUCUUCAGCUUGACCUUCAUUCUGCUGUCUCUCCGGGUAAGAUUUCUGGCGUUGACUCCAAUUGAACCGCAGGCUUCACCCCUUGUGGUGCUCCCCCGCCAAUUCCUUUAAGUUUCAUACUUGCGUACGUACUUCCCAGGCGGCAAACUUAACGGCUUCCCUGCGGCACUGCACUGGCCACAAGCCAAUGCAUCACUGAGUUUGCAUAGUUUACAGCUGGGACUACCCGGGUAUCUAAUCCGGUUUGCUCCCCCAGCUUUCAUCCCUCACCGUCGAACGUGUUCUGGUAGACCGCCUUCGCCACAGGUGGUCAUCCAUAGAUCAAAGGAUUUUACCCCUUCCUACGGAGUACCGUCUACCUCUCCCACUCCCUAGCUUUGCAGUAUUCCCGGCAGCCUAUAUGUUGAGCAUAUAGAUUUAACCGAAAACUUACAAAGCCGGCUACGGAUGCUUUAGGCCCAAUAAUCAUCCUGACCACUUGAGGUGCUGGUUUUACCGCGGCGGCUGACACCAGAACUUGCCCACCCCUUAUUCAAUAGUGGUUUUAUGACUAACAAAAGAUUCCUUUAGCAGGAAUCACUCGGAUUAACCUUGUCGUGCUUUCGCACAUUGCAAAGUUUUCUCGCCUGCUGCGCCCCAUAGGGCCUGGGUCCGUGUCUCAGUACCCAUCUCCGGGCUACUCCUCUCAGAGCCCGUACCUGUAAUAGUCUUGGUGGGCCAUUACCUCACCAACAAACUGAUAGGCCGCAGUCCCAUCCUACGGCAAUAAAUUAUUUGAAACAUAAACCAUUCCAGGCAUAAUGUUCUAUCUGGUAUUAUUCUCAGUUUCCCGAGGUUAUUCCCGUCCAUAGGGUAGGUUGACUACGCGUUACUGAGCCGUCUGCCUUGUAUUGCUACAAUGACUCGCAUGGCUUAGUAUCAAUCCGAUAGCAGUCAGGUCCGGCAGGAUCAACCGGA